AGAAAUGCAGCUGAUCUGAUCUCCUGGGGAUUGCAGAUUAUAAGCAGUCAUAUUACUGCAGAACAAACAAAUGCAUGUUGCCAGACCUGGAAAAAUUUGCCUUCCUUAUCUAGAAUGGGAAGACAAUCACUUAUCACCAUCAAGUUUCAAACCCACAAUUCAGCAGACCACCACUCACAAGGAGGAGGAGAGUUACAGAUGCUCAGGAUUUGAGUACAAAGGAAUAGGAAUGGAGCUGAACAGAUCCAACACCUGAAAGGACGAUUGGAUCUUGUAAGGGACGAAACCAUGAAAAAGACCCUUCAUUCAGUAAAGCAGCAGAAUUGGCUCUGAGGAGAGGUGAAAGAAAGGCAGUGCUUACCAGUCAAGGGAGAAAGAUUCCAAGACAUGGCUGAAUUUAAGAAUGCAGUCAGGUAAUCAUCACUGAAGAUGUGAGGGGACCAGGUGACCACCCUUGCCAGGAGGAAAUGAUUGAAAGUGACUGUCCUGGGGAAGAGGUAAGAAAUGCCCAGGCUCAGAGCACCCACGUGGACAUUAAUGGACCUUAUUAACUUGCAGGUAGAAGAACUGCUGCUGCUUCACUUGCCAAGGGAAGAAUGUGAGAAGCAGGUGCAGACUUUGCUAACGCAAUGUGCCUGGCCACCUGCUGAAUACACAGAGGGGACAGAAGAGCAUUCUGCAGCUAUAGUCCUGGGAAUGGAGAGCAGCCCCCUGAGACAGUGCAGCCAGUUGCACUUUCCAGCUGUAAACAUCCCUGCAGAUCAUGGACCAAGGAGGUGAGAAACACCAUUUCUGUACCAGUCAAGUGGAAAUGAAUGGAUCCUCUCCUACCUUCAGAUGGGAGAGGCGCAUCUGAACACUGAGGAUAUAAAAAACGUGA